UGAGCAAUCUGCCCUUCUCAUCGGAAUAAGCGUUGGAAACGACGUCUAAUGCCGAAUACGACCUCCUUUCGCAUGAUCGGAGGUGGAAAGCUCCGGCGGAGAAGGAUGAGCUCGCGGCCUAUCAGCUAGUUGGUGUAGGUAAUGGCCCACCAAGGCGACGACGGGUAGCCGGCCUGAGAGGGUGACCCGGCCACACUGGGACUGAGACACGGCCCAGACCUCCGUACGGGAGCA
rnacentral:rRNA from 1 species